CAGUAGCCGCGGUAAUACGUAGGGUGCGAGCGUCAAUCGGAAUUACUGGGCGUAAAGCGUGCGCAGGCGGUUUUGUAAGACAGGCGUGAAAUCCCCGGGCUCAACCUGGGAAUGGCGCUUGUGACUGCAAAGCUAGAGUGCGGCAGAGGGGGAUGGAAUUCCGCGUGUAGCAGUGAAAUGCGUAGAUAUGCGGAGGAACACCGAUGGCGAAGGCAAUCCCCUGGGCCUGCACUGACGCUCAUGCACGAAAGCGUGGGGAGCAAACAGGAUUAGAUACCCCCGUAGUCCCUGUCUCUUAUAC
rnacentral:rRNA from 1 species